UCCGUUUACGCGCAAAAAAAAAUGGGGGCAGCCUCCCAAAAAAAAGUGAACGGGAGGAAAGAAAGAAAAACGGAGCGACAGGGAACGAGAAAUACAGCAAGGAGGAGAGGAAAGCGGGUGGGGGGGAGGAGAGAGAGAGAGAGAGAAAGAGACGAGGCAAGCCCCCUCCCUCGAGGGGGCCAGUCAGUCGUGACAAAAGGAAUCCUCAGCCAGGUGGAGAACAGGAGGAGAAAUCCGGCAGGUAACCCCUUCCGUAGGAGACGUAAAAGAAGGGUAGGCGCUGCGGAUAGAAAGGGAGGGAGUGAGGUGCAGAGAGGGAGAGGGAGAGUUGGGCUGUUUAAAAUUAAUAAUUGGGUAAGGCAAGGGGGGGAGACUUGCAAAGAGGAGGGGUAGUUAGGGACUAUCCAGCGCCUGUCAUCUGAACAGGACAGGGUGGGUGGGGGAUACAGAGAAAGCAAGAAGGAAGAAAAAGGCUGCGUGAAUCCGUGCCACCCGCCCUACCUCCUGUCAAAGAGACCCUGCGCCCAAGUAGCCGCCUAAAGUCACACAAACAGCCGGCUCACCUCGCUUGGCAGCUACAGCGAAGGCGCCCGAGAACGGAAACUCUGCCUCUUUCUUGCCUGGAUGAUACCAACUAGAUGGAAAGGUGAACUAACACCUUUAGAGACUGUCUCUUUCCACCUGCUUCAGAUAAUGGAGAGGAGGAAAGAGCAGCCUGGCUAGUCUGCCACGAAGAAGCACCACGGUUUGAAAUGACCACCGAAAAAGAUAAGCAAGGAAGGGAAAAUGCUGAGCUUUUGGCUAGAUGAAAGAACUCCAUUUCUCAAGGGGUUUUUGUAUUUGGAAUAGCAGGUUGCAUAGGCCCUUACGUUCAUCGCCAGAAAUGUGGUACAGUAUUUUGGAGAUAGGUUACUCUUAGGUGUGUUUCACGUGAAUUUAUAAAAAAUGGAAUUAUAUGAUGUGUGAAGGAGUCCCUGCGGAUUUUAUUCCGCUAGCCGUUGCCAGAUAUAGGGGGUGGUGCUAAUCUCUGUUUCAAGGCCACUGAGUCACGGUCAUGUGGCCAGCAUGACAUCAAAACGCUGUUAUCGUCCCACCAGAGUGGCACCUAUUUAUCUACUCGCAUUGGCAUGCUUUCGAAUGUCUAAGCUGGCAGGAGCUGGGGCGAGGACGGGAGCUCACCCCGUCGCGUGGAGCUCGGAUCUCGAACCUGGGCUGCCGGCUUUCCAGCCAACAAGCUCAGGGUUUUAACUUCUGAGCCCGUGUGCCGGCUUACGCUAUGUCUCUAAUAACUAUUAAUAAGUCUCACCUUGUCUGUGAGUAUCAGCUCCUCUUUGUCUCUCGCUAAGAAGACCAUCCUUCUUAGCAUUUUCACACUUCCAAAGUGGUAUGGAAUUCAGCCUGCCUUUAUAUUUGUGGGUGAGAGGCUGGCCAGGUGUGCUGUGAAUCCACCUAGUCCAUGUUUCCGAAGUAGCAUCUCCGUUGUUUAAGCUGAAACAAUAAAGAUGGUGGAUGGGACAAGAAUUAAGACCACGGUAGCCUGGAAGGUGUGGACAAUAUUUUGUGUCCCACCCCCCCAAUCCCUAUCCCAAGGAUUGGUAAACUCUUUGUAGAUGAGGUCCCGUAACUCCAUUCUGAGAUAGCCUUAAAUUUUUGGUUUACAAGCUGCCGUUUUCUGGCUGACAGCAUCCAGAGCAGUGGUGGGUUGUUACCGGUUCUCCCCUGUUCUCACGAACUGGUAGCGGAAAUUUUCAGUAGUUCGGAGAACCAGUAAAUACCACCUCUGCCUGGCCCUGCCCCCAAUCUAUUCGCUGCCUCCUGAGUCUCAGCUGAUCGGCUAGAAGGAAAAUACAGUUUAAACUCUUGCCAUGGUGCUUCAAAGGGCUGCCCUACAGCUGAUCAACGAUAAAAGGAAGUGAGGUGAUAGACCAGUGCGCUCCAAAAACAAAUGGGUAGACCGGCGCGCUCCAAAAAAAAAAUAGGUAGACCAGAACGCUCCAAAAAGAAAUGGGUAGAUUGGUGUGCUCCAAAAAGAAAUGGGUAGACCGGUACAGCUCUGCAAGCAGUUAAAAGCCUGGUAGACAAGUACCUCUGCUAAAUCCUAAAGACUUGUCACAUGACCAUCAAACCACGCCCACAAAAUAAGCCACGCCCACAGAACCGGUAGUAAAAAAAAUUAGAACCCAACCCUGAUCUACAGCUAUGCCCCAAAAAAACAAAUUUGAACUGAGUUUCGUCUGCGGUGAAUAUGGCUACUCAGAAGAAAUGAUACUGGCUCAUCUUCCUUCUUGGAAUGUGCCUGCCUGAAACAUAAUCACCCCGGGAAAGGGGGAAGAAAAAGAAAAGGAAAAACGAAAAGAAAAAUAUAAAAUCACCUCGAAUAUGAAAUGCAGUUCCUCUAUGAAAGGCAGAUGUGAACCCAUUCUGGCUGUUUAGAACAAGGCUUAACAUUAGAAAAACACAGAUUAAUGAAGAAAACGUCACUGAUAGAGAUUGAUUGGCAGGUGAGAAUAAUUACUGGCCUUCCACCUCCUUUGCUGUUGUCUUAAGCCGGUCCAAAGUUAAGAAUUGUUUGUGUGUAUUAGAAUAGUAGAAGAAUCAAUUACAUUCAUUUGAAAGGGGGUCCCGGGGAAACCCCCCUUCAUUUAUUUCAGAACUGUUUUAAGACAAGGUCAAAGUUUUCCCCCGAUUUUAAUUGGAGGAUAAAGGACAAUUUUACCAAACCGGGAGGGUUGGCCAAUUAAUCUUGUCAGCUUGGACAUUUCUCAUUCUCGGAGAGGCCUAAAAAUCGGAAAGAAAAUACGAUCGGGUGAGACAUAACCACGUCCUUAAUGGAUGAAAAAAGAAAACACCCCAUAAUGAACAGAGAGAGAUGCUAUCUCACACUUUCUCACAAUAAACAAUGUUAUGUUAUAGGGAGGGGGGAGAAAUCCCUUUAGAAAGGGAGUUAGGAUGUCAAUACAGGUAGUGACCGUUUGAAGCAGGGGUGAAAUCCAGCAGGUUCUGGAAAACCAGUAGCGGAAAUUUUGAGUAGUUUGGAGAACCGGCAAAUACCACCUCUGGCUGGUCCCAGAGUGGGGUGGGAAUGGAGAUUUUGCAAUAUCCUUCCUCUGGAGUGGGGUGGGAAUAGAGAUUUUUUUUAACGUGCUUUCGAACUGCUAGGUUGGCAGAAGCUGGGACAGGUUAACGGGAGCUCACCCCGUUACUCGGCACUAGGGAUUUGAACCGCUGAGCUGCCGACUUUUCUGAUCGACAAGCUCAGCGUCUUAGCCACUGAGCCACCGCGUCCCUAUACUGUAUACAUAUAUACAUCCUAUAAUGUAUAUAAUGUAUAUACAUCCUAUAAUAUAGCGUGUUUUCCCAAAAAUAAGACCCCGUCUUAUAUUUUUUUGAACCCCAAAAUAAGUGCUUGGCCUUAUUUUCGGGGAGGUCUUAUUAUUUUGAGGCACAUGGAGGAAAACAGAGGAAAUGGCAGGGACUGCAUUUAAAUAUUUUCAGGGGGGGCUUAUUUUAGCACAUGCGCUCAAAAGCCUGAUUGGGCUUAUUAUCAGGGGAUGUCUUAUUUUCGGUAUACAUCCCUAUAAUAUAUAACAGAGCCAUUCUCUCUGUUUUGGUAGGGAGACCAUAAGCAGCUAAGGUUAUCCUGAGGUCUGAAAUGAAUCCAUGCCAAAUUAAAUCCUACUUAUUUGCUUUUUUUUUUUUAAUGUAGACCUGGUAUCCUUUAUUAUUCCCAAGAGGACUUGCUUCAUCCAAACACCCCAGCUCUUAAAAGAAACAUCUUGGGAGCUGAAGACAGGAGACCUCAUCUGCUGGGCCAGUUUUCCUUGAUCAGUUUUCUUUCUUUUUUUUUUUUUGCCAUAUGUUCUCCAUUAGCCAAAAGAAAAAUUUCACACAUCAUAAACAGCUCUGUUCACAGACGCCACUUCUGAAAGGGCGCAUGAGAAGAUCCUGUGUCCUCUUGGCCUAAUGUGGAACCUUCCCCCGGCAUUAACAUGAAUGAAAACUCCUGGAAGCUUUGGAGCAAUCUAAAAUGUUAUCUCAAGGGUUUAUAUGGACGGGGCAAUCCCUAAAGUCCUUGAAAGGACUACAUGCCGUAUGCAAGAUGAUCUUCCUUUGUGGUCUGAUGCUGUUGUUACUCGUUCAGAAUAACAGAGCUGGAAGGGACUUUAGAGGUCUUCUAGUCCAACCCUCUGCUCAAGCUAGCUGUUCAGUCUCUUCUUAAAAGCCUCCAGUGAUGGAGCAACCGGGUUAUUUUCCUGUAUCUUCCAAAUCUCAAAGGAUCUGUGUUGUUGUUCAGUUGCUAAGUCAGAUUACUAUUCUCAUCGUUCCUAUCACCCAUCUCCUCCCACUUAUGACUGUAUGACUGUAACCUUGUUGCUGGUAUCCUUAUGAUUAUAUUGACUGUUUCCCUAUGACUAUCAUUAAGUGUUGUACCUUAUGAUGAAUGUAUCUUUUCUUUUAUGUACACUGAGAGCGUAUGCACCGAAGACAAAUUCCUUGGGUGUCCAAUCACACUUGGCCAAUAAAGAAUUCUAUUCUA